UCUGAGGUUGAUGUGAGCUGAUCCAAAAUUUGCUGAGGGAAGACAAGCCGUUGAGGGGGGUUUGGCUGGCUGCCGGACUCUCUUAGUUUUCUUGUCCAUCUCACUUGUUCUCGAUUCCCAUCUUCGUUGUGCUUGACUCUUCCUCUCUGGUUCUACGGUGGUGUCGCCAGUUUGGUUUUUUCUCGCGCUUGCGGUUCCAGCGGUGGAGCUGUUGGUGGUUGCUCUUCCUGUUCUUGUGGUCUCUCGCGUUCUAAUUCCUGGUGUGGCGGUAGUGUCAAAUGCGGUGAAGCUGCUGCAUUUCUCUUGUUCAUCUUUUUUCAAUUUUUUAUUGUUGCAGGUCUGUGAUGGUUAUUGACGGAUCAGGCAUGGCAUUGACAAGGAUUUGGGCUUCUUAAGUAGCGAGCAAUUGAAGCCAAGUGCCUGUUUUCUAAGUUGCGUCUUGGUGAUGGUUCUACAAGUUCCUAGAUUCUGGUGGUGUUGAGGCUCAAUGACCAACUUGGUUCUGUUUAUCGACAUCAUGGCUACAUUGGUUGCCUAAUAAGUGUCUGUGCAACCCUUGUAUUAACUCAAGUGUAUUGAGCUCGAUGCCAUCUUCGGCUGCGGUGGAAACGUGAGCGGCGUUGAGGUCGGAGGUGCUCUAGCCCUUAUGAUCCUUGACUUGGUUGUUGUCUUGGUUUUCUUGAUCAAGACUAUUGCUGACGUCUUAGACAUUCUUUCGGGCCGCUGUUGUGAUUCUUGGUCCUCUCUCUCUUGGUAUGUAACGGCGGUUCUUCUUAUUGCGGUUAUCUUCUUCGGGGCCGUGGCGACGUUGCAACUGCUGUCAACGGUCGAGGUGCUAGUUGUUGCACUCUCUAGUAUUUGUUUUUUUUUUUUUUUUUUUUUUUUUCCCCCUCUUUGUGUUUCAGGGGGACUGGAGGGCCCGAGCUUGGUCCUUCUUCGACGCUUGCUGGCGACCCUGCGGUGAAGUUGCGACGCCGUCUUUUUCCGGCUUCCCUCUUGUUUUUGCAUCCUUUGAGCGUCGAAGCUUCCUCAUUCGGUUUUAGUGUUUUUUUCUACAUUGCUUGUCUUUUCUAAAUUGAUAAUCUUGCAGUUAUUAUUCUCCGGCGGUGGCUGAAACUGAUCGUCACAUCAUAUAGAGUUGUUCCCCUAGAAUCAAAAAAUUGUUAAAGUUUUUGAUAUUACCCAAUCGGCUUUAAGUCCUGGGGUGAUACUUCAGGGAAUGUUGGUCCCGACGAGGUUUGUAAUUGUUGGAUAUAGUCGUGCGUGCUUGACGUACUGAGUGUGGACGCUUGCCUUAAUCUAUCUUGUCAUCAACCUGCAAGUAAUCAUAGUGUUCCGGCUUGACUUGUGCAACCCAAUCUUCCAAGGCUUAGUUGUCUUCCAGUUUGGUGAUGAAGGUUGGCAGGAAGAAGGGCUCAUCUUGAAGUCAAGGACUGUGGACAUGUUCAAGUCGCUGCCAUUGGGCAAUGAGAAUCAGACUAUGUUGUCCAAUUUGGAAGUUGAUCCAAGGGGAAUGGAUGCAACUACUUGUUACAAGAACAAUGUGUUACCCAAAGCGAAGCGUAACAGAGUUCUGCGGUGAAGCGCCAAGCAACUGUAGACGAGUAACUCGCUAAUAAACACAAAGUAAACACAUGAAUGAACAUGAAGUAAACCCAGCCACUCCAGUACAUGAGUCCUCGUCAACUUAAUGAUGGAGAGAGCCACGCUUCUUAUACAAAAUUAGACUAUUUGUUACUAACUGGUUGAUAUCUAGUUCUUGGUUCAUACCCGAUGCGAUAGGUAGAGAUCUUAGAUACUGCGGCAUUUCGUCAACACCGUCAACACCUAUGUAGCUUGGUUACGUUUCUUUUUAUCUAGAUACUCCUUUUGGGUUAGCUCACGGAAUUCUAAAAAUUGCUGCGUUGAGGGUUUGAUACUACUUCUGGGUUUUGUACGACUGUGGUUGCGAUGUGAGACAAUGGCGCAGAUCCAAGAAUGAUGUCGCAACACGCCGUUGAAGUGAAGGGUUUUAAAGGCGCUAAGUUCAAGGUCUUUUGGACCAGGGUUGAUGUAGAAAGAGAUAUAUUAAACAAGUUCUAGGAUUACAAUCUGGUUACACUAUAUAUAUUUAUUACAUUCAGUUUUUUCUGAACUUUUCAAAUAAAGCUCUUCCAAAAAGUUUUGUAAAAGUGUCUGCCACCUAUUCCUAUGUACAUAUGUGAGACUUCUCCUAAUUGAAUCUUUUCUAGUAACUAACUUUUCUCUAGUAAAGUGAUAGUGUUCUAUUAUGUGUCUUGUUUUGAGGUUUACUCCUGGAUUUGUAGCUAUCUUGAUACUACCAAUAUUAUUGCAAUGUAUGACUACUAGUAGUUCUAUUUCUACAUUCAAAUCCUUGAGUAGCAUUGUGAACCAUGAAGCUUCUAGUGAUCUAUGAACUAGAGUUCUAUAUUUUGCUUUUGAUGAUAAUAAUGCUACAAUGAAUUGUUUUUUUAAUGACUAUGAAAUAGGCCUAGUUUCAAUGCUAAAUAUGAGCCUAUUAGUGGAUUUAGCUUGUUCUAGGUUGCCAAGGCAAUCCUGAUCCACAUAUUUCAAAAGAUUGAUUUGAUUGUUGUUACAAUAUAGAAUUCUAUAGUCUUAUGUGCUUUUAACAUAGCAUAGUAUUUUCUUUGCAGCAAGUACAUGAAAUUAUUGAAAUCUUGUCAUAAGACAAUUCAUGUUGCAAAUUGUAUAUUAGGUAGAGUAUGAAUUAAAUAGAGAUAUUUUCCUAUACUACUUCAA